UGAGGAAUAUUGGUCAAUGGACGCAAGUCUGAACCAGCCAUGCCGCGUGAAGGAUGAAGGCGUUCUGCGUUGUAAACUUCUUUUACCAGGGAAGAAACCACUUUUUUCUAAGAGUGUUGACGGUACCUGAGGAAUAAGCACCGGCUAACUCCGUGCCAGCAGCCGCGGUAAUACGGAGGGUGCAAGCGUUAUCCGGAUUUACUGGGUUUAAAGGGUGUGUAGGCGGAUUAUUAAGUCAGGGGUGAAAUCUCCGAGCUCAACUCGGAAACUGCCUUUGAUACUAUUAGUCUUGAAUCCUGUUGAGGUUGACGGAAUAUAACAUGUAGCGGUGAAAUGCAUAGAUAUGUUAUAGAACACCGAUUGCGAAGGCAGUUAACUAAGCAGGCAUUGACGCUGAUGCACGAAAGCGUGGGGAUCAAACA
rnacentral:rRNA from 1 species